rnacentral:rRNA from 1 species
GCUGGUUCUCCGCGAAAACUAUUUAGGUAGUGCGUUGGAUGUAUCCCUCGGGGGGUAGAGCACUGGAUGAGGAAUGGGGGCUUACCGCCUUACUGACUUCAACCAAACUCCGAAUACCCGAGAGGACUGUCCAGCAGACACACGGCAGGUGCUAACGUCUGUCGUGGAGAGGGAAACAACCCUGAUCACCAGCUAAGGCCCCCAAAUCGUGGCUAAGUGUGAAAGGAUGUAGAGACCCCAAAACAACCAGGAUGUUGGCUUAGAAGCAGCCAUCAUUUAAAGAAAGCGUAACAGCUCACUGGUCUAAACAAGGGUCUCCGCGCCGAAAAUGUAACGGGGCUAAAGCCACGUGCCGAAGCUGUGGGCUCACUUUGUGAGCGGUAGCGGAGCGUUCCGUAGGCCUGCGAAGGGAGACUCGUGAGAGCUCCUGGAGGUAUCGGAAGUGCGAAUGCUGACAUGAGUAACGUAAGGAGUGUGAGAGACACUCCCGCCGAAAGUCCAAGGGUUCCUGCGUAAAGCUAAUCUGCGCAGGGUUAGUCGGCCCCUAAGGCGAACCCGAAAGGGGUAGUCGAUGGGAACGCGGUUAAUAUUCCGCGACCAGGGAUGAGUGACGAAUGCCGGAAGUUGUCCGACCUUACUGGAUUGGUUGGGCAGCCUGGGUGUUCCAGGAAAUAGCUCCCCAAAUGACCGUACCCGAAACCGACUCUGGUGGACUGGUAGAGUAUACCGAGGCGCUUGAGAGAACGAUGCUGAAGGAACUCGGCAAAUUACCUCCGUAACUUCGGGAGAAGGAGGCCUCUGGCUCGGGCAACCGGGUUGGAGGGGCACAGACCAGGGGGUAGCGACUGUUUAUCAAAAACACAGGGCUCUGCGA